rnacentral:rRNA from 1 species
AUGAGAUCCCGUCUUGGAGGAGCCGUCGCGGCAGUAUGCAGAGACCAGGGAGGUUUUUACCUGGGUUCAUCAGCGCUUGUCUUUCAAGACAUUAUUGACCCACUGGCUUUGAAAACUUAUGCUUGCCGCGAAGCUCUGGCUCUAGCUGAAGACCUUGCGGUUUAGAAUAUUUGUGUGGCGUCGGACUGUCAAGAAGUGGUGAAUGAUAUUAAUCGGGGACUGGAUGCCCAAAUGCUGCGUUGGUACAUGAAAUAUCGAGUCAUUGUAAUAGUUUUAUUUCUUGUUCUUUUAUUCACAAGCGUAGGAACCAUAAUUAUGAGGCUCACAAUCUUGCCAAGUUUGCUAGUACGCUAG